GACGAACGCUGGCGGCGUGCUUAACACAUGCAAGUCGAACGGAAAGGCCCUGCUUUUGUGGGGUGCUCGAGUGGCGAACGGGUGAGUAACACGUGAGUAACCUGCCCUUGACUUUGGGAUAACUUCAGGAAACUGGGGCUAAUACCGGAUAGGAGCUCCUGCUGCAUGGUGGGGGUUGGAAAGUUUCGGCGGUUGGGGAUGGACUCGCGGCUUAUCAGCUUGUUGGUGGGGUAGUGGCUUACCAAGGCUUUGACGGGUAGCCGGCCUGAGAGGGUGACCGGCCACAUUGGGACUGAGAUACGACACAGACUACUACGGGAGGCAGCAGUGGGGAAGAUUGCACAAUGGGCGGAAGCCUGAUGCAGCAACGCAGCGUGCGGGAUGACGGCCUGCGGGUUGUAAACCGCUGUCGCCUGUGACGAAGCGUGAGUGACGGUAAUGGGUAAAGAAGCACCGGCUAACUACGUG
rnacentral:rRNA from 1 species